GCGCUGACAACGGUUUUAACGACUACAGUGUUGCAGGCUUUAAUGAAGCCUUCGCGAAUUAUUAUGAAACUUUCUCGCCAAAGGUGCCCGAUGUCAAAAACUGUUUGUUUAUUUGCGCGAGUUAGGAGUUAAGGCAAAUUGCAAAACUUCUGCAGCGAUGAUAAUUGGCCGGAAAAUUCAACGUCGUCAAUCGCGGAACUACACACA